rnacentral:misc_RNA from 1 species
UUUUAAUUAUUAUUAUUUUUUAGUUUUCCCAUUUGUUGCGUUAGUCGCCGUUCGUCCCACAGUUCACAUUAAUUUUAUAAAAAUAAGUUAAAGUGAGGGGCUUUAUAGUAAAUUCACUUUUAUUUUAUCAAUUCUGUCUGCCUCGCUCACGAUGCUGGUUCCCCUACUCUCUACCCAACACAUCCUCCGUCUGCGUUCCCAGUUCCCAUCCAGCGUCCCGUUCCGACCUCGAUUAGCUGACAAGAGUCACACAGCCAAAGACGACGAUUC